UUCAAUGUGUAUGGACGUGUGCUAUUUAAUCUGAUACUGAUCUUCCGGAUUGGAGUGUUAUUUUCACUGUUCCUGAGAAUAUCGAGGAGCCCAAGAAAAUGAGUUACGGCAGACCACCGCCUCGAAUCGAUGGGAUGGUGUCCCUGAAGGUGGACAAUCUCACGUACAGAACGACGCCGGAGGAUCUGAGACGCGUGUUCGAAAGAUGUGGCGAAGUCGGCGACAUUUACAUACCCAGAGAUCGCUUUACUCGAGAAAGCCGUGGAUUUGCGUUCGUCAGAUUCUAUGAUAAACGAGAUGCAGAGGAUGCAUUAGACGCCAUGGACGGAAGGCUGUUAGAUGGAAGGGAACUUAGGGUUCAAAUGGCGCGAUAUGGACGGCCAACUUCCCCACAUCGUAGUCGCGGCAGUCGUCGGCGUGGAAGGUCACGCAGUAGGAGCAGGGAUCGAAGACGCUCACGCUCUAGAUCGCGUAGUAGAUCGAGGAGUCGCGAUAGAGAUCGUAGGCGAUCAUACAGUCGUAGUCGCAGCCGCUCACGCUCUGAUAGUAAGAGCUCGCGUGGAAAAUCUCGCUCCCGCAGCAAGUCUCCGGAUAGGCAAAAAGAUAGUCGUUCCAAAUCGAGGGACUGAAGUAAUUGAACCAUGUGCGAGUACAACUGUGAACAGAUGCACGCGCCGCAAGUGCAGAAUAAUCGUUUCUUGAGAACAAAAAGGCGGUGGAAAGGAGUGGCGUGGCGAGUGUAGCCGAUGAUGGGGUAGCUGAGAGUAAGCAGUAAGCCGAGUAGCAGGGCUGUAAGCAGUUUGCAGUAGCGAGCGGUUGGUGGUCUGGUGAAAGCAGGUUCGCGAGUCGAUCAGGGCGAGAAAAAGAGAGAAAGUGUGUGAGCGAAAGCUGUCUCUCUCUCUGUGGGGGGUCGGCGUGCAGAAAUCGCAGAGGGUACGGUCUCGAAUGCAGAGAAAUAAGCAGAGAGCACAACCAAAAGCCACACGCGGUUGCUGGUCUCGACCACCGUCCGGUUUGCAGGUAGCA